UUAGUUUUAAAUUAAUAAAUAUUUACCAGAGGACUACAAAUAUAACAAUUUAAAACUCAAAGAGCUUGGCGGUGCUUUAGACCUCUCAGGGGAAUCUGCCCCAUAAUCGAUAGUCCGCGCUAAACCUUACCUUUAUUAGCAACCAGUUUGUAUACCGUCGUCGGCAGGUAACUUUUUAAAAUAUAAAAGUUAGCAAAUAAAAACUCAAUUUUUACGUCAGAUCAAGGUGCAACUUAUAUAAAGGUGCGGGUGGAUUACAAUUAAAAUUUAUAAAACGGAAAAUUUUUGAAACAAACUUACUAAGGUGGACUUGAAAGUAAAAAUUUAUAUAUAAAUUUUUUGAAUCAGGCUCUAGAGCG
rnacentral:rRNA from 1 species